CAGAUACUCCCUCCGUCCAAAAAUACUUGUUAUCAAAAUAGAUAAAAAGAGAUGUAUUUAGAACUAAAAUACGUUUAGAUCCAUCCACUUUUAUCCAUUUUGAUGACAAGUAUUUCCGGACGGAGGGAGUAGAUA
rfam:Triticum aestivum genome assembly, contig: Triticum_aestivum_CS42_TGACv1_scaffold_224491_3B